rnacentral:lncRNA from 1 species
CCUUGACUUGCUUGGGAUUUGUGGACAUUGUCUGUUGUCUGUUGUUGCUGUUGCUGUUGUCGUUUCUUCCACUGCUUCGAAUUGGGUUAUUGGCGGGGAACCUGCAUUUGGGGCUGUGGGUGUUGAGUCCAGCGGUGUUUGCCCCCUAAUUGAGUAUAGUUUUGUUUCGGGAGUAUUCCUUUGAAUUUGUGUGAGCCUUGUAUUUCCUUGCUGCUGCUUUGAUACUACCACCGUGUAUAUCUUUAUAUUUUCCUAUACUUUCGUGUAGUUGUGGCUGUNNNNN